CAACUCGCCUGCAUGAAGUUGGAAUUGCUAGUAAUCGCGAAUCAGAAUGUCGCGGUGAAUACGUUCCCGGGCCUUGUGCACACCGCCCGUCACACCAUGAGAGUCGAUAACACCCGAAGCCUGUGAGCUAACCUUUUAGGAGGCAGCAGUCGAAGGUGGGUUNAUGAUUGGGGUGAAGUCGUAACAAGGUAAC
rnacentral:rRNA from 1 species